rnacentral:lncRNA from 1 species
AAAGCUAUCAUUUUUCUCUUCUCCUUCACCGAAAUAUGCAGCAAAGAAAGGGUUUUGAAGCAGGAAAAUUUCAGCAACAUAUUUCCCUUGCUUGUAAGUGAUUUUAAUGUCUUUGCUUGAUGAUUUUUACAUUUUUGGAACCCCUAAAGCAUGAGCUUUCAUAAGAGGGGACUAUUUUGCAAAAUGAUGAAGAGUCUAGGGUUUUGCCAUGAGAGUAAAUGUGCUGUUUGCUGUGUUUUUAUGGAAGAUUAUGAGUCCUAGUUGUCUAAUAAACAACUUUUGUGAAAGAAAUUACAUGAAAACACCUUAAAAAAGGGCUAGAUUGCUAAGUUGUAAAAUAAGUUGUAAUGUGUAAAAUAGUUGAAAUUAUGAGUUGCUAUAGUUAUGAAAAUGGUUCAUCUAGACUCAAGGAGUAAAGAAAUGUGAUAAAAAUUAUUUUACGAGCAUUGAGGCAAAAGUGCAAAUAUGCAAAAGUUUAGGGGUCAAAAUGGAAAUUUGUAAAAAUAUGAUUUUUAUACCCAUAUGAAUAUUGUGACUGAUUGGUAGGCUAAAUGUGAUAUUAUAGAUCAAGAAAAUCAAGAUUUGGACCUAGAACAGAAAGAAAUCGAUUAAGGGAUGAUUAUGUCCUUUUCACCUUUGUGGUAUCGAGGUAAGUUUGUAUGUAAACAAUACCAUGCUAUACAUGUAUUUAAAUGUUAUCAUGACAUGAAUUGUACAGAUAUUAAGUGUAUGUGAUUAAUAGAAAUAUGAUAAGACAAAGCCUUAAUAGACGAGGAAAAAUCCCGUUUGAACCUUAGAAAUAAAAUAGGAUACGAGUGACAUGUCACUAGGAAUUAUGAGUCUAGAUGACUAGCUCGAGAGUGAGCAUUGAAACGUCAUGAGAUAUGAGGUAGCUUUAGCUACAAUUGAGGCACUUAUGUGCAAAGGCUUUUCCGAGUAUCCAAUUAGUAUUCCAAGUGUUUAACGGGUAAUCCAAGGAAAGAGUUGAUGAUGGUCCCAACGAGGUAAGUCAUUGGUGAGUAUACACUUGAGUUAUGUUACGAGUUGUGCAAGUAUGUAUAUUAAGCCUAUGAGAAUGCCUUGAUAUGUGAUGAUCUAUGAUGCAUAAUAUGUGUUCUUACCAUGAUGGAUGAAAUGAUGUUGUAUUAAUUUUGUGAACAAUGAUCAUGAAUGAGUAACUUAGCGUUGACAGAUUUGAGUUACUGUAGUAAUGUAACUUUGAAAAUACACUAAAAAUAGUGGAAAAUUAGUUAGAGGUAGAAUAAAAUAUGAGAUUAAAGCUUAAUGAGUCUAUUUUCACAUGAAAGAAACAGAGGAAGAAAAAGAAUUCUAUAUUGUGUGAUAUUUGAAUUCUUGUAAAACAGGGUCUGAAUGAAUUCGAGAUCCCCUGUUCUAACUUUAGAAAUUCAUCAUAAAUUGUAAAAAAAUUAUUAAGAGUCAUACCUUACAUGCAUGGAUUCCUUAUUGAGUCUAUUUUUAAGGGAAAAAAAAUGGCAUCGUCGUUGGAAUUUUGUACAGGGAGAAAUUCGGUUUGUAGUGCACAAGGGUUAGAGUGGUCAUACCCUGAAAUAGGGGAGACUUUAACUAAUAAACUGUACUAAAUGGCUUGACCAAAAAUUCUAGAAAAAACUUAGUAAGUAUACAUAUGAGUAUAGUUUCAAGAUAAAUAGACGAGAACAUUAUUUGAAUCCUGUACUAUGAGAUAAUUGAACUUUAGUGCAGAAGGGUUGAAACUGUCAGACAGUGAAUCAGGAGCAAACUUGAGGAGUAAACUGUACUAAUUGGCUAAGUCAAAAAUUCUGGAAAUUUUAUGAAAGAAAGAUAAAUGAGUCUAGUUUCAGGGAAAAUUAACGAAACUUAAUUUGGAGUUUCGUAGCUCCAGAUAUAAAUAAUUUAGUGACUAUUGCUCAGGAAGACAGCUUGCAGUGAACUUGAGAAUAUGUUGUAAACAUUGAUAAAACAAGUUAAUGAGUUGCUUAUUGUUUUCAUAUGAACUUACUAAGCGAAAGCUUACCCCCCCUUCUUUCCCAUGUUUUCUAGAGUUUCCAGGUUAGCUCGGGUUGAAGGCCGUCAGAGAUAUUAUCACACUGUCGAGUUAACGCUAUCGGCGUAAGUAAACUCAAGUGAUUCUAGUCUAUGGCAUGUAUAGGGUUUUAAUGUGAGUAUGUAAUAUUAUGAUUUAGCCAAAUGCAUUGGCUUGUUAUUAAGGUAGUAUUAGUCAUGUAAAUUGGCCUAUGUCGGCUAAUAUCGUUAUGGGCCAUAUGAUUAUUCUUAUGCAUGUAUGUUAUUAUCUCUUGUGAUGUGGCUUACAACAUGUAUGCCUAGAGAUUGAAUUCAGAUUCAUUGAUGAGCUAAUAACUAAUGCAGGAUUAAGUGAUUGGUAAAUAGUUAAUAAUGCUUCAUGAAUGGUUUGUGGAUAUGAUUAUUUAUGCUUUGUGAUGGACAUGAGGUUUGAUGACAUGUUGAUAGCUAUAGCAUUAAUAUGGUAAAGAUGAAAGAAAAACUUAUUGUAAUGGUUGCAUGUG